CCUACGGGCGGCAGCAGUGAGGAAUAUUGGUCAAUGGACGAGAGUCUGAACCAGCCAAGUAGCGUGAAGGAUGACUGCCCUAUGGGUUGUAAACUUCUUUUAUAUGGGAAUAAAAUGUUCCACGUGUGGGGUUUUGUAUGUACCAUAUGAAUAAGGAUCGGCUAACUCCGUGCCAGCAGCCGCGGUAAUACGGAGGAUCCGAGCGUUAUCCGGAUUUAUUGGGUUUAAAGGGUGCGUAGGUGGAUUUUUAAGUCAGUUGUGAAAGUUUGCGGCUCAACCGUAGAAUUGCAGUUGAAACUGGCAGGCUUGAGUACGGUUGAGGUGGGCGGAAUGCGUGGUGUAGCGGUGAAAUGCUUAGAUAUCACGAAGAACUCCGAUUGCGAAGGCAGCUCACUGGACUGCAACUGACACUGAGGCUCGAAAGUGUGGGGAUCAAACAGGAUUAGAUACCCCAGUAGUC
rnacentral:rRNA from 1 species